rnacentral:tRNA from 1 species
GUUACUGUAGUGUAGCGGUUAUCACGUCGCCCUAGUCACGGCGAAGAUCGCGGGUUCGAUUCCCGUCAGAACCG